rnacentral:tRNA from 1 species
UCUAGGUUAGGUUAAUUUAAACCCCUUGUUUGUGGCACAAGGAAUAUAUUUUAUAUACUUAGAA